AUUGAACGCUGGCGGCGUGCCCAACACAUGCAAGUCGAGCGGUAACAGGUGUAGCAAUACAUGCUGACGAGCGGCGAACGGGUGAGUAAUGCUUCGGAAUCUGCCCAUGUAGUGGGGAAUAACCAGCCGAAAGGUUGGCUAAUACCGCAUACGACCCUUGCCCACAAGGCAAAGGUGAAAGCAGGGGAUCGCAAGACCUUGCGCUAUUGGAUGAGCCGAAGUCGGAUUAGCUAGUUGGUAGGGUAACGGCCUACCAAGGCGACGAUCCGUAGCUGGUCUGAGAGGACGACCAGCCACACUGGGACUGAGACACGGCCCAGACUCCUACGGGAGGCAGCAGUGGGGAAUCUUGCGCAAUGGGCGAAAGCCUGACGCAGCGACGCCGCGUGAGGGAUGACGCC
rnacentral:rRNA from 1 species